AGAAGAGGGUGAAUGAUUUAUUGCUGCCAGAGUUGUGACAACUUGCAGUGAGGAAAUAAUUUUCACUCCAUGUUCUCAGCAGUUUAGAUCAGCAGAAAUGAAAACAGCCAUGGAUCAUCUUCACACUACUUGUGAAUGAUUAGAAAGUCCUAUGGAGGAGAUAAAACAACAUAGAAUAACAGCAUUGGAACAAAGUUUGGAAGUCUUCUAGUCCAACCACCUGCUCAAGCAGGAGACCCUGUUGCUCUCGUUGCAGCAGAAAUCAAUAGAGGAUAUCGAUUUUCAUAGAUAUCGUGCUGUUGAGUUGUCACAAAAAAUGGCCUGGGAAUGGCGUGAAGUGAUGUAUAAUUCAAAACUGAUUUUUUUAAUGAUAUACUUACUCUUAUAAAUGAUGCUGAAUUGAA